rnacentral:lncRNA from 1 species
CUCAGAUGGUAAAGAAUCUGCCUGCAGUGAAGGAGACCUGGGUUCAAGCCCCAAGUUGGGAUGAUCUCCUGGAGAAAAGAAUAGCAACCCACUCCAGUAUUCUUACCUGGAGAAUUCCAUGGACAGACCAUGGGGUUGCAAAGAGUCAGACACGACUGAGCAACUAACACUUUCACUUUUCACUUUCACUUCACAUAGUUUAUUUACACUGUUGUGUUAAUUUCUGCUUGCAGGAGAGUGGCUCAGUUAUAGAGAAAUAUACACUUUUUUAAUAUUCUUUUCCAUUAUGGUUUAUUAUAGGGUAUUGAAUAGAGUUCCCUGUGCUACACAGGAGUACCUUGUUAUUUAUCCACUUUCUAUAUAGUAGUUUGAGGUUAGUACAUGCAUAUUAGAAUUUAAUUAAGGCUUUAUAUCAAGCUCACCAAUUUCUGGAGUCUGUUUUAUCCCCUCAUCACUCAUCCCACUCCUUUUGUAAAUCAGGAUAUUUCUUUCUGGGUACCUGGCAUCUCUCCUUUUCAUCUUAAUCUUCAGGGUGAAAUCCGUGAAGCUGACUGCCCGGUCAUUCAUUUGCCCACCUGUCCCUGUUAACUCCUCUUCUGGGGCAUUACAGCAACCAGAGGAAGAAGACUGGAGGACCCUGAGGGUGGUCUGUGACCCCACAUCCCCAGAGGUUCCCAAGAGAACUGUCAUGGAGUCUCAGAGUCACUGGGCAGAGGAAAGGGACAAGCAACAGAGAAGUAUCUCAGUGGCAGGACCCACUCGGGAGAGCUGGGGCGAGGCUGGCUGAGGUCCUCGAGGAGCUUGGACUCAGGCGCCUGCCUGGCAGUGGAAUGAUGCUUCCCGACCUCUCAGACCUCUGGGCGCACUUAGAAAGCACUUCACGCCUUCUGUCGGCACACGGCUGCCCAGGGGAACCUCAGGGACAGGGGGCAGAGAUCGUGGCCUGCGAGAUGAUGGGUACCCUGAUGCACUCACGACAGUAUCUCAAAGAUGCCACGCCGCUGGCUGCUCCCAAGAACGAAGCCACCCUCCCAGAGAGGUGGCCGGAAGCCGGGCUGCAGGAGGCUCGACUUUUUAGCCGGAGGAUGCACCGCCUUCUCAGGUGUCCUGGGAACUGCUGAAGGACCAUGAUGGGGAGCAAGCUGGUCCCCAGGACAGAGCAGAGCAGCUGGAACCAAGAAGCGCCCGGAGCCAGAUGCAAAGCCGGCAGAUCUGAGCGCCCUGAGCCGCGGUUCCUGAUUGGACGGUCUUUGCUUUGCCAUCACCCUAUUGGCUCACAGUUCUAGAUGAUUUUGAAUGGUUGGCUGGUCUUUUUUUUUUUUUUUUUUUCCGUCUGUCUUUCGUUAUUUUUUCUUGGCCUUGGGGAUUGUGUAAGAAAACAAUUGCUUUGGAAAAUAUAAUUCUGUGGCUGAAAUUAACCUUGUUUAUGAACCAAUAUUGUCCCUAGGGAUUUCUGAAUUGUCAUCUGGGUUACCUAGUAAAUGGGUCUGCAUGGUUUGAUGUGUGUAUUCCUGAUCUUGAGAUUAAAAAUGCAUUUUCAUAUCUGGAUCCAAGUAAUGGGCCGAGUCCCACUUGCCUUGCUACUGAAGCAAUCUCAGUGCGGCAUUGCUUGGAGUUGAAAUAUAAUCAAACAUAUUAUACCUGGGGCUCUUGCAUGCUCUUUGGGGUUUAUGCUACCCCACAAAGAAAUACAAACAUUGUAGGUGGAAAUGUAAUUCCUGUUUGAUCCCGCAGCUAGAAUGGUGGAGAAAGUAUAAAUAUUGGAAGUGGCUUCAAAUACUUCAGAUGUAAACUAACCAAGAGUAAGUGGCUGAUUCUCUAAGGCAGAGCAGGGACUGGAGACCACUCCCCACACCCUGCCUGUUGACCUUGCUCCAUCUGGAGGGAUCGGAGAAGGAGGCCCGCUUCUGUGUUUGCGUUUGCGGAGACUGUGGUGUUUCUGACUCGUGCUCUGUAACUGUGCCCACCUCGCAAUAAAACACCUUCGUUGACUCAGCGACAAGGUCUCUGUCCAUUUCCUGCAGUCCUGUGUCCUCAUCGGCUUUGUGAGAAGGUCC